UCGGACAAUAUACAAGGUGCUGCAUGGUUGUCGUCAGCUCGUGCCGUGAGGUGUCGGGUUAACGUCCCAUAACGAGCGCCAACCCCUAUCAUUAGUUGCCAUCAGGUCAAGCUGGGGACUCUAAUGAAACUGCCUACGCAAGUAGUGAGGAAGGCGGGGAUGACGUCAAAUCAGCACGGCCCUUACGUCCAGGGCUACACACGUGCUACAAUGGCCGAUACAGAGGGCAGCUACCUGGUGACAGGAUGCAAAUCUCCAAAGUCGGUCUCAGUUCGGAUCGGAGUCUGCAACCCGACUCCGUGAAGUUGGAUUCGCUAGUAAUCGCGCAUCAGCCAUGGCGCGGUGAAUACGUUCCCGGGCCUU
rnacentral:rRNA from 1 species